rnacentral:tRNA from 90 species
UGGGCCGAGCUGGAUUUGAACCAGCGUAGACAUAUCGUCAACGAAUUUACAGUCCGUCCCCAUUAACCGCUCGGGCAUCGACCC